GGAAUUUUGGACAAUGGGCGAAAGCCUGAUCCAGCAAUGCCGCGUGCAGGAUGAAGGCCUUCGGGUUGUAAACUGCUUUUGUACGGAACGAAACGGUCGCCUCUAAUAAAGGCGGCUAAUGACGGUACCGUAAGAAUAAGCACCGGCUAACUACGUGCCAGCAGCCGCGGUAAUACGUAGGGUGCGAGCGUUAAUCGGAAUUACUGGGCGUAAAGCGUGCGCAGGCGGUUAUAUAAGACAGAUGUGAAAUCCCCGGGCUCAACCUGGGACCUGCAUUUGUGACUGUAUAGCUAGAGUACGGUAGAGGGGGAUGGAAUUCCGCGUGUAGCAGUGAAAUGCGUAGAUAUGCGGAGGAACACCGAUGGCGAAGGCAAUCCCCUGGACCUGUACUGACGCUCAUGCACGAAAGCGUGGGGAGCAAAC
rnacentral:rRNA from 1 species